AAUUUUCAUAGACAUUCAUUUCCCGAUAAGAAAAGAUCUAUUCUGUAUUAAUAUUAUAGUUAAUUGCUUCAUAAUGUGGCAUUAUUAUGUAAAAAAUACUGAAUAGAGGCGAAAUACCUACAUUUUUUUUGAUAUCUGGAUAGAGUUUAAAAGAAUUUAGUUCUUAAUAUAAUCGAAGAGUUAUAAGAUUCUUCGAAUAAAAAAUUGUAGGUUUAAGAAUAUAUAGGAAUAAUUUUCUCAUUAUUAUUAUAUGCUAUUAUUUAUAUCUGCUAUUAUAUUUUUACUUUAAACUCUUCUUUGGUUAAAAUAGCAUUAUGUUUUUUAAUAAUGUUUAAAUUAGUAUUUAUAUAAUAUAUCUUAAAAAGGAACUCGGCAAAAAUUUUUUCAACUGUUUACCAAAAACAUAGCUUAAAGAUAAGUAUUAUAUUUUAAGUGGUUUCUGCCCAGUGAAAUUUUUAACGGCCGCAGUACACUGACUGUGCUAAGGUAGCAUAAUAAUUUGGCUUUUAAUUGAAGUCGGGUAUGAAAGGGAUAAUGGGGAAUUUCUGUCUUUUUUAGAUAAAUAAAAGUUACUAAGAAAGUGAAAAUUCUUUCAUAUUUUACGUAAGACGAGAAGACCCUAAGAAUUUUUAUAAAUAUAUCUAAAUAUUUGUUAAAUUUUUGUUGGGGCAACAAUUUCGGUUAACCGAAAUUUACAUAAUAACACAUGUCAUAUUGUUUAAGGCAAGACAAAAUUACCUUAGGGAUAACAGCAUAAUUAUUUUUAUAGAUUGUGACCUCGAUGUUGGACUAAGGACUUAAUUAAAUAGCCUUUAAUUAAGCUAGUUCUGUUCGAACUUUUUACCUUA
rnacentral:rRNA from 1 species